UACGGGGGGGCAAGCGUUGUCCGGAAUUAUUGGGCGUAAAGGGCUCGUAGGCGGUUUGUCGCGUCGGGAGUGAAAUCCACUGGCUUAACUGGUGGCUUGCUUUCGAUACGGGCAGACUGGAGGUAUGCAGGGGAGAACGGAAUUCCUGGUGUAGCGGUGAAAUGCGCAGAUAUCAGGAGGAACACCGGUGGCGAAGGCGGUUCUCUGGGCAUGUCCUGACGCUGAGGAGCGAAAGUGUGGGGAGCGAACAGG
rnacentral:rRNA from 1 species